AGAGAAGCCAAAAACCAAAAACAAGGGGGGUAAGGAGCUGGCAUCAGGCACACCAAAUAGCCCAAGACGCCUUGGUCAGCCACACCCUCAAGGGAAUUCAGCAGUAAUAAACAUUAAGCUAUGAGUGAAAACUUGACUUAGUUAGGGUUAAAAGGGUCGGUAAAAUUCGUGCCAGCCACCGCGGUUAUACGAAAGACCCUAGUUUAUGGGCACGGCGUAAAGGGUGGUUAGGGGACUAAUAAAAUAAAGCCAAAGACCCCCAGAGCCGUCAUACGCCCAUGGGAACACGAAGCCCAAAUACGAAAGUAGCUUAACCAAAUAACACCCGACCCCACGAAAGCUGGGAAACAAACUGGGAUUAGAUACCCCACUAUGCCCAGCCUUAAACCUUGAUGAAAACUUACAAAACCAUCCGCCUGGGGACUACGAGCACAGCUUAAAACCCAAAGGACUUGGCGGUGCCCCAGACCCACCUAGAGGAGCCUGUUCUAGAACCGAUAACCCCCGUUAAACCUCACCACCUCUUGUUUUCCCCGCCUAUAUACCGCCGUCGUCAGCUUACCCUGUGAAGGCCCAACAGUAAGCAAAAUGGGUUUAGCCCAAAACGUCAGGUCGAGGUGUAGCGCACGAGAUGGAAAGAAAUGGGCUACAUUUUCUACCACAGAACACCACGAACGGCACCCUGAAACAUGACGCCUGAAGGAGGAUUUAGUAGUAAAAAGCAAAUAGAGUGUCCUUUUGAAUUAGGCUCUGAGGCGCGCACACACCGCCCGUCACUCUCCCC
rnacentral:rRNA from 1 species